UACGUAGGGUGCAAGCGUUGUCCGGAAUUAUUGGGCGUAAAGAGCUCGUAGGCGGUCUGUCACGUCGGGAGUGAAAACUCAGGGCUCAACCCUGAGCGUGCUUCCGAUACGGGCGGACUAGAGGUAUGCAGGGGAGAACGGAAUUCCUGGUGUAGCGGUGGAAUGCGCAGAUAUCAGGAGGAACACCGGUGGCGAAGGCGGUUCUCUGGGCAUUACCUGACGCUGAGGAGCGAAAGCAUGGGGAGCGAACAGG
rnacentral:rRNA from 1 species